CUGAUCUCUUACUAGAACGAAGUCAACAAGAGCUACCCUUGGACUCUGGAUGCCUGGGAGGGUCUGGAGCCGUCGGGCAGAAGGAGAAGGUGGAGCGGGUCUUCCCGGAGGCCGGCUCCCACGGGGGUGGCCAAGGCUCUGGGCCUCUCGGCAUGCCUCUGCGGAUCCUGUUGGAUCCAGAACCGUCUGGAUCACCUGAAGAGUUAUUUGAUACCAGCUGAUUUUCUAAGGGGACAGCCAGAAAUACAGCCAUUUGGAUUGACAAAGGUGCAACAGCAAUUCAAUGGGGAAAUAGUCAGUAGUCGGUUUAACCAAUGGUAUUGGAAAAAUUGGACAUCGAUAUGUGAAAAAAUGAACCUGGGCCGGGCGCAGUGGCUCACGCCUGUAAUCCCAGCACUUUGGGAGACUGACGCAGGUGGAUCACAAGGUCAAGAGAUCGAGACCAUCCUGGCCAUCAUGCCAAAGCAGGAAGAAAGAGGCCACAUGAGGCCACGUAGCCACACCAAUCUCAAGGGAGGCCGGGAAAUUAAGUAUCUGACGAAAAAGAGCAGGAGUUCCACCUUAAAUGAAGCAGGAGCCAGGCCUGAGAGCAGGACGCACUGCCAUGCUGAACAGAGGGCCUGGUCCCUAAAGCAGGAAGGAGUCAAGGAUCGCAGUCGGGAUUGACAAAUGAUAUCUCUGCAAUAUUAAAAAAUAAUCUAUCUACUUGCAAAUUUGAAAAAAUUCUAGAUAACUUGGGUUAAAAAGAAAAUGAACACUUUGGGAGGUUGAGGCGGGCAGAUCACGAGGUCAGGAGAUCGAGACCAUCCUGGCUAACACGGUGAAAUCCCGUCUCUACUAAAAAUACAAAAAAUUAGCUGGGCACAGUGGCGGGCGGCUGUAGUCCCAGCUACUCGGGAGGCUGAGGCAGGAGAAUGGCGUGAACCCGGGAGGCAGAGCUUGCAGUGAGCCAAGAUAGCGCCACUGCACUCCAGCCUGGGUGAAAGAGCAAGACUCCGUCUCAAAAAAAACAAAAAAAAGAAAGAAAGAAAAUGAAAAACUAUUUAGAAAUAAUUGGGAAUAGAUUAACUAAAAUUCAGAAGAGGAGAAAAAAUCUAAAGAAGGGGAAAAGUCUAAAGAGAAGGAUAACCCAUAGAAAAAAAUGGAAGGGUAAUCAGAGGACUACAGGCCCACACUGCUGUGCAGGCAUAUUCUGCAUUUCUAAGGAAUAAUGACAUUCAUAUUAAUAUUAUACUUAUAAAAGCUAUUCCACAGAAUAUAAAAAGAUGAUCUCCAACUCAUUCAAUAAAGCUAGUAUUACCCUGACACCAAAUCCAGACAUAACUAGUGCAGAAAAUAUAUACGCCACCCCACUUGUGCAAAUGAUACAAAAAAAUUCCAACUAAAACAUGAGCAAAUACAAGAAUGUGAUGUACUAGAAGAUCACAUUUUUCCUAGGAAUGAAAAGAUGGUUCGAGGUUAGGGAACCUAUCAGUGUAAUUUCCUGCAAUAACAGUUAAAAGAGACCGACGAUAUGACCGUCUCAGUAAACAUAGCAGAUAGUGCGUUGCUGCUCCAUCCUCUACCUGACCUUCUGAGGUCUUCUUGCAGGGAUUAGAAGUCUGGAAGCUCCAUUUCCCAGGCUCUCUGGCAAUGGUUCCAGUUUAGUUUCUACCACUGAGAGGUACUCAUUAGUUUGGCAAAAGGUGAAGAAGGCUGGACUGGAGAGGUGAUUGCUGUUGGACAGGUCACAGACUGCCUGAGCCUGGUUCCACACCAUUCACAGAAGAUUAUCAUGGGAAUCCUCCUGGAGCUGUGCAACGUGCAUGCCCUGCCUUGGGGCAGGGAGGGGUUCUGCAAUAUAAUUUUUGCAGAAAAGAAUGGGCAUCAUCUUUUCAAAAUAUUCGGUACUAAGGGUUCCCCCUGAAAGAUGUAAGUUUCCUUCUGUUGGCUGAAAUAAUAUAAGAAAUGGAAAAAGUACACUUUCAAGAAUUUCAAUUUAGAUACUGUUUGUAUUUGUGUGUGUAUGCAAAACAGUUCUUGUAUUUUUAUGUACAAGAUUUGGCACAAUAAAUGCUGAUUUUCUUGGGGCUGUGGAUAACA